rnacentral:rRNA from 1 species
CAAGUCGAGCGAACCCUUCGGGGUUAGCGGCGGACGGGUGAGUAACACGUGGGCAACCUACCUUGUAGAUGGGGAUAACAUCGAGAAAUCGGUGCUAAUACCGAAUAAUACUUUUCUUCUCAUGAAGGAAAGUUAAAAGUUGGCUUUCGCUAACACUACGAGAUGGGCCCGCGGCGCAUUAGCUAGUUGGUGAGGUAACGGCUCACCAAGGCGACGAUGCGUAGCCGACCUGAGAGGGUGAUCGGCCACACUGGGACUGAGACACGGCCCAGACUCCUACGGGAGGCAGCAGUAGGGAAUCUUCCGCAAUGGACGAAAGUCUGACGGAGCAACGCCGCGUGAGUGAUGAAGGCUUUCGGGUCGUAAAACUCUGUUGUUAGGGAAGAACAAGUACCGUUCGAAUAGGGCGGUACCGUGACGGUACCUAACCAGAAAGCCACGGCUAACUACGUGCCAGCAGCCGCGGUAAUACGUAGGUGGCAAGCGUUAUCCGGAAUUAUUGGGCGUAAAGCGCUCGCAGGCGGUUUCUUAAGUCUGAUGUGAAAGCCCACGGCUCACCCGUGGAGGGUCAUUGGAAACUGGGAGACUCGAGUGCAGAAGAGGAGAGUGGAAUUCCACGUGUAGCGGUGAAAUGCGUAGAGAUGUGGAAGGAACACCAGUGGCGAAGGCGACUCUCUGGUCUGUAACUGACGCUGAAGGAGCGAAGCGUGGGGAGCAACAGGAUUAGAUACCCUGGUAGUCCACGCCGUAAACGAUGAGUGCUAAGUGUUAGAGGGUUCCGCCC